UACGAAGGGGGCGAGCGUUGUUCGGAUUUACUGGGCGUAAAGGGCGCGCAGGCGGCUCAUUUUGUCAGGCGUGAAAUCCCCGGGCUCAACCUGGGAACUGCAUCCGAAACUGCCUUGCUAGAGUAUGGGAGAGGGAAGUGGAAUUUCCGGUGUAGCGGUGAAAUGCGUAGAUAUCGGAAGGAACAUCAGUGGCGAAGGCGACUUCCUGGACCAAUACUGACGCUCAGGUGCGAAAGCGUGGGGAGCAAACAGG
rnacentral:rRNA from 1 species